UGAAGUGGCCCCACCAUCCAAGCGGCUAAAGACGUAUCUCUACAAUGGGAACAACAAGGAGCAGACAGAGGAGAACCAAAACAGAGAGCGGAUGCUUUCUGAAGUCAGGAAUAACAAGAAGAGCCUGGAAGAGAGUUGUCUGUCCUGUGGGGCGAAGA